AGAGACUCACCUCUGACGAAUCUCACCGGAGAGUUUAGAUCUCUCUUCUCUUCUACAUCGAAGUUUUGGUUCGUCACCGGCGACAAUCCUUUUCUCCGACGAUAUAAUGCCGUAUAAGACGGUGAUAGAAGUGGAGCCUCCGAGUCUGUUGCGGUACUUGAUCGGAGCGGCGGUGAUGAUGAUCGGCGUCGUAUUACCCGUUGGUUACAUGAUGUUCCGCAACAAACGCGUCCGCUUCUCGUCUUCGUACUCUAAACAGACGUGGGGAAUCCAUGGUUGAUAGAUGAUCAAAAUUUAUAGUUGCUUGCUUGCUUGCUCCUCUUCGUUAAAGCUUGUUUAGGCUAAAAUUGGAAGGAACAAAGUUUUGAUAUAGAAGGCUCCGAGGCUGCGGUUGGAUUCAACUGAAUUGAGACUGAUGAUGACAUAUUGAUACGGACGACUGUAAAAUUAUGGCGGAAUUCUUAUUUUGAGUUUUUACAUGGGUUGUAAGAGAUCCUUCAAUAUCGCAUUCUUGCUUAGGUUGAAAGAUAUCAUUCGCUGGCUAGAGUCAUCAUGAGCUAUAAAUUUAUAUAAAACUGAGCGUAGUUCUUUGCA